rnacentral:rRNA from 1 species
GAUAACCAAACGAAAGUUUGGCUAAUACCGCGUAAGCUCCAAGGAGGAAAGUAGGGGACCUAAAUAAGGCCUUACGCUAUUUGAUCGGCCGAUGUCGGAUUAGCUAGUUGGUGGGGUAAUGGCUCACCAAGGCAAUGAUCCGUAGCGGGUCUGAGAGGACGAUCCGCCACACUGGGACUGAGACACGGCCCAG